UACGUAGGGUGCAAGCGUUAAUCGGAAUUACUGGGCGUAAAGCGUGCGCAGGCGGUUUGCUAAGACCGAUGUGAAAUCCCCGGGCUUAACCUGGGAACUGCAUUGGUGACUGGCAAGCUAGAGUGUGGCAGAGGGGGGUAGAAUUCCACGUGUAGCAGUGAAAUGCGUAGAGAUGUGGAGGAAUACCGAUGGCGAAGGCAGCCGCCUGGGCCAACACUGACGCUCAUGCACGAAAGCGUGGGGAGCAAACAGG
rnacentral:rRNA from 1 species